GGCCGCGGGAAUUCGAUUCAGGCCUAACACAUGCAAGUCGAGCGGUAGAGAGAAGCUUGCUUCUCUUGAGAGCGGCGGACGGGUGAGUAAUGCCUAGGAAUCUGCCUGGUAGUGGGGGAUAACGUUCGGAAACGGACGCUAAUACCGCAUACGUCCUACGGGAGAAAGCAGGGGACCUUCGGGCCUUGCGCUAUCAGAUGAGCCUAGGUCGGAUUAGCUAGUUGGUGAGGUAAUGGCUCACCAAGGCGACGAUCCGUAACUGGUCUGAGAGGAUGAUCAGUCACACUGGAACUGAGACACGGUCCAGACUCCUACGGGAGGCAGCAGUGGGGAAUAUUGGACAAUGGGCGAAAGCCUGAUCCAUAAAGGACCGCGUGUGUGAAGAAGGUCUUC
rnacentral:rRNA from 1 species